AUACAGAGGUUGCAAGCGUUAAUCGGAAUUACUGGGCGUAAAGCGCGCGUAGGCGGUUUGUUAAGUUGGAUGUGAAAGCCCCGGGCUUAACCUGGGAGGGUCAUUCAAAACUGGCAGACUAGAGUGUGGUAGAGGGUAGUGGAAUUCCUAGUGUAGCGGUGAAAUGCGUAGAGAUUAGGAGGAACACCAGUGGCGAAGGCGACUGCCUGGACCAACACUGACGCUGAGGUACGAAAGCGUGGGUAGCAAACAGGAUUAGAAACCCCAGUAGUCC
rnacentral:rRNA from 1 species